rnacentral:rRNA from 1 species
UACGUAGGGCGCAAGCGUUGUCCGGAAUUAUUGGGCGUAAAGAGCUCGUAGGCGGUCUGUUACGUCCGCUGUGAAAACCCAGGGCUUAACCCUGGGCUUGCAGUGGAUACGGGCAGACUAGAGGCAGGUAGGGGAGAAUGGAAUUCCCGGUGUAGCGGUGAAAUGCGCAGAUAUCGGGAGGAACACCGGUGGCGAAGGCGGUUCUCUGGGCAUGUCCUGACGCUGAGGAGCGAAAGUGUGGGGAGCGAACAGG